GCGGGGCACGGUGGCUUGUGCCUGCAAUCCAAGCGCCGGGGAGGCUGAGGCUGGCGGAUGGCUUGAGCCCGGGGGUUCUGGGCUGCAGCGAGCUGUGCCGAGCGGGCGUCCGCGCUAAGGCCAGCAUCGAUAUGGUGGUCCUCGGGGAGCCACGGGCCACCAGGUCGCUUAAGGAGGGGUGAACCGGCCCAGGUCGGAGACGGAGCAGGUCAAAGCUCCCGUGCCGGUCAGUAGCGGGAUGGCGCCUGUGAACAGUCCCUGUAGCACAGCCCGGGCGAGAGAGCGGGACCCAGCCUCUU
rfam:Nipponia nippon contig64321, whole genome shotgun sequence.